UAGUGCCAUACAACAGUUGUCAGAAAAAGACCUGGUACUCUAUGCUGAAAGUGAUAUGUUAUUACUGUGACAUCAGCCCCUCCAGCACAAGACUAUCAUCACCACAUCAAAUGUCAGUGGACACAAUGAUAAGACAUCAUGUCAUUACCCAGUUCCAACAGUAAUACAGCAGUCAAUCAGGGAUCGUGUCUAAUCGGGAGAAAUAAGGAAGUGUGUAAGAAGGAGUCUCAGACAACGGCGACCUAGGAGUCAGAACCUUUGACAGCUCAAAGGAGGAGCGAGAUGGAGCAUUACCUUAAAUUGAAAAGUGCUGGAUGGAGUGACCAGGGGGUAAAGGAUGAGAAUGUGGAAUUUGAUUCAGAUGAAGAGGAACCCUCAUCCCUCCCAUCCUCUCCCCCCACUGACUCAACAGAGGGCUGACCAGUUGAGCAGCAGUGACCAGACCUCAACACCACCACCUUCCCACAAUCCCUAGCCCUUUCCUCAAACCCUGCCGCUGACACAAAGGUCCCAUUUGGACAUACAUCUGUUGACUCACCAAUUAUGAAUGGCGCUCUGUUGCGGUAAUGACAACACUAUAAGAGCAGCACUAGAACAUCUUGAACUGUCUCCAUGCUUCCUUUGUUUACCCUAUCUCAGGGUAGACGCAUUGGUGCUUGAGACAAUGCUUUGACUGUUGUCACCCUGCGAGGGGUGGAAAGGGGAACGAUUCUCAGCACCCUUUGUGUUAUUCCAUUCGCCCAGUUUAUUUGGGUCCAUCACUUCCCCUGUUAAGGCUAAGCUGUGAGCUUACCAUAAAUCAUCAGCAGAUAGGACAAUAUUACUGCUAAUCUUGGUAGUUUAACCACCGGUUAACAUUCUUCAGAAGGUUCUCAUUUGUGGCUCACCCCUAGACCACUCUAUAUAUUGGAUAACCCCCCUCCCUAGAGAAAGGAAGCGUGCGGACUUAACGUGCGUUAGUUUAAAAUGAUGACUUUAAAAUGUGGCAAACUGAGUACCUGAUCAUUAUUUGUGAGCUCAUUGUGUGACUGCCACAAGACGUUUGGAAUGUUUGUUGACUGCAUCGACACAGGAGCUCAACUGUCUUAUGUGUCAUCAAGACUGAUGAUGUUAUGGAGUUAAAUUGUCAAUGCAAAAAGUCAUGUUGAUUCUAUCAUUUUACUUUUAGAUGACUAAACAAAACAAUUGUCCUCCACUGCUAACCAUGUCUGUUUUAAUAACCCAGAUACAAGGGAGUAAAAUAAAGCACCACUUAACUUAGAACUGUAUACCAGGUCAGUCACUAAAUACCUUGCAUGGUACCCUACAUAACUAUAAAUACACAUGCAUUUUACUGUGGCUGAAUGAUCAAAGGGUAAUAAAUAACCCCAGGAAUGGCAUCUGGUAUGACAAUACUGACCUUAAGUCAUUACAA